GGGGGUGACUAGUGACAGAGUGAGGGGGUGACUAGUGAAAGAGUGAGGGAAGGGGUGACUAGUGGCAGAGUGAGGGAAGGAAGGGGUGACUAGUAACAGAGUGAGGGGGGUGACAGUCACCACCUAGUGACAGUCACCACCUCCCUCACUCUGUCACUAGUCACCACCUCCCUCCCUCUGUCACUAGUCACCACCUCCCUCUGUCACUACUCCCUCCCUCCCUCUGCCACUAAUCAUCCCCUCACUCUGCCACUAGUCACCCCUUCCCUCACUCUGUCACCAGUCAUCCCCUCACUCUGUCACUAGUCACCCCCUUACUCUAGUGA